CUGUUUGACCUGAACUCAACCUCAAUCACUAUUUAUGUCAAAAUUACGGUGGCCCUGAGGUGCAAAUCACAACAACAAAAGAGAAAACACAACGGCAAAACAGAAAACACAACAGCAAAAGAGAAACACAACGGCAAAAGAGAAAACACAACAGCAAAAGAGAAACACAACGGCAAAACAGAAAACACAACACAAAAAGAGAAAACACAACGGCAAAAGAGAAAACACAACACAAAAAGAGAAAACACAACGGCAAAACAGAAAACACAACAGCAAAAGAGAAAACACAACACAAAAAGAGAAAACACAACGGCAAAACAGAAAACACAACACAAAAAGAGAAAACACAACGGCAAAUCAGAAAACACAACACAAAAAGAGAAAACACAACGGCAAAAGAGAAAACACAACACAAAAAGAGAAAACACAACGGCAAAACAGAAAACACAACACAAAAAGAGAAAACACAACGGCAAAUCAGAAAACACAACAGCAAAAGAGAAAACACAACGGCAAAACAGAAAACACAACAGCAAAAGAGAAAACACAACACAAAAAGAGAAAACACAACGGCAAAACAGAAAACACAACACAAAAAGAGAAAACACAACGGCAAAUCAGAAAACACAACACAAAAAGAGAAAACACAACGGCAAAUCAGAAAACACAACGACAUUAAUCAAACCGGAAAAGGUAGGUACCCUCGGACGACAUGAAUCGUCGCUGAUUGGACAAAAGAACUGGUCCGUCCUUUCACUGGUACAGCGAGGAUGUGUUCAGGUACAGUCAGGAUGCGUUCAGGUACAGUCAGGUACAGCGAGGAUGCGUUCAGGUACAGUCAGGAUGUGUUCAGGUACAGUCAGGAUGCGUUCGGGUACAGUCAGGUACAGCGAGGAUGCGUUCAGGUACAGUCAGGACGCGUUCAGGUACAGUCAGGAUGUGUUCAGGUACAGUCAGGAUGCGUUCAGGUAUAGUAAUUUGUCGUUGUGUUUUCUGAUUUGCCGUUGUGUUUUACUCUUUUGUUGUUGUGAUUUGCACCUCAGGGCCACCGAACAAAAUGGCCUCAGCUGUGCAUAA
rnacentral:lncRNA from 15 species